GUCCUCAUGGUGUAGCGGAAAGCACCGGGCCCUCCGAAGGUCCAAGCCCUGGUUCGAGUCCAGGUGGGGAUA
rnacentral:tRNA from 1 species